rnacentral:rRNA from 2 species
UGCAGUCGAGCGCGAACGUUCCUUCGGGAACAAGUAGAGCGGCGGACGGGUGAGUAACGCGUGGGAAAUUGCCCAGUAGUGGGGGACAACAUUCGGAAACGGAUGCUAAUACCGCAUACGCCCUACGGGGGAAAGCAGGGGAUCUUCGGACCUUGCGCUAUUGGAUAUGCCCGCGUCGGAUUAGCUAGUUGGUGAGGUAAUGGCUCACCAAGGCAACGAUCCGUAGCUGGUCUGAGAGGAUGAUCAGCCACACUGGGACUGAGACACGGCCCAGACUCCUACGGGAGGCAGCAGUGGGGAAUAUUGGACAAUGGGCGCAAGCCUGAUCCAGCCAUGCCGCGUGUGUGAAGAAGGCCCUAGGGUUGUAAAGCACUUUCAGUAGGGAGGAAGGCCUUAAAGUUAAUACCUUUGAGGAUUGACGUUACCUACAGAAGAAGCACCGGCUAACUCCGUGCCAGCAGCCGCGGUAAUACGGAGGGUGCGAGCGUUAAUCGGAAUUACUGGGCGUAAAGCGCGCGUAGGCGGUUAGUUAAGCUGGAUGUGAAAGCCCCGGGCUCAACCUGGGAACUGCAUUCAGAACUGGCUGGCUAGAGUACGAGAGAGGGUAGUGGAAUUUCCUGUGUAGCGGUGAAAUGCGUAGAUAUA